AGGAAUCUGCCUAUUAGUGGGGGACAACAUCUCGAAAGGGAUGCUAAUACCGCAUACGUCCUACGGGAGAAAGCAGGGGACCUUCGGGCCUUGCGCUAAUAGAUGAGCCUAAGUCGGAUUAGCUAGUUGGUGGGGUAAGGGCCUACCAAGGCGACGAUCUGUAGCGGGUCUGAGAGGAUGAUCCGCCACACUGGGACUGAGACACGGCCCAGACUCCUACGGGAGGCAGCAGUGGGGAAUAUUGGACAAUGGGGGGAACCCUGAUCCAGCCAUGCCGCGUGUGUGAAGAAGGCCUUUUGGUUGUAAAGCACUUUAAGCGAGGAGGAGGCUACCGAGAUUAAUACUCUUGGAUAGUGGACGUUACUCGCAGAAUAAGCACCGGCUAACUCUGUGCCAGCAGCCGCGGUAAUACAGAGGGUGCAAGCGUUAAUCGGAUUUACUGGGCGUAAAGCGCGCGUAGGUGGCCAAUUAAGUCAAAUGUGAAAUCCCCGAGCUUAACUUGGGAAUUGCAUUCGAUACUGGUUGGCUAGAGUAUGGGAGAGGAUGGUAGAAUUCCAGGU
rnacentral:rRNA from 1 species